UCAGGACGAACGCUGGCGGCGUGCCUAAUACAUGCAAGUCGAGCGGAGUUGANGAGGNGCUUGCACCUCUGAUGNUUAGCGGCGGACGGGUGAGUAACACGUAGGCAACCUGCCUGUAAGAUCGGGAUAACUACCGGAAACGGUAGCUAAGACCGGAUAAUCGGUUUCUCCGCAUGGAGNGAUCGUGAAACACGGAGCAAUCUGUGGCUUACGGAUGGGCCUGCGGCGCAUUAGCUAGUUGGUGAGGUAACGGCUCACCAAGGCGACGAUGCGUAGCCGACCUGAGAGGGUGAACGGCCACACUGGGACUGAGACACGGCCCAGACUCCUACGGGAGGCAGCAGUAGGGAAUCUUCCGCAAUGGACGCAAGUCUGACGGAGCAACGCCGCGUGAGUGAUGAAGGUUUUCGGAUCGUAAAGCUCUGUUGCCAGGGAAGAACG
rnacentral:rRNA from 1 species